rnacentral:rRNA from 1 species
GACGAACGCUGGCGGCGUGCCUAAUACAUGCAAGUAGAACGCUGAAGGAGGAGCUUGCUUCUCUGGAUGAGUUGCGAACGGGUGAGUAACGCGUAGGUAACCUGCCUGGUAGCGGGGGAUAACUAUUGGAAACGAUAGCUAAUACCGCAUAAGAGUAGAUGUUGCAUGACAUUUGCUUAAAAGGUGCAAUUGCAUCACUACCAGAUGGACCUGCGUUGUAUUAGCUAGUUGGUGAGGUAACGGCUCACCAAGGCGACGAUACAUAGCCGAACUGAGAGGGGGAUCGGCCAAACUGGGAAUGAGACAAGGCCCAGAAUACUACGGGAGGCAGCAGUAGGGAAUCUUCGGCAAUGGACGGAAGUCUGACCGAGCAACGCCGAGUGAGUGAAGAAGGUUUUCGGAUCGUAAAGCUCUGUUGUAAGAGAAGAAAGAGUGUGAGAGUGGAAAGUUCACACUGUGACGGUAUCUUAACAGAAAGGGACGGCUAACUACGUG